rnacentral:rRNA from 1 species
ACUUCAGGAAACUGGGGCUAAUACCGGAUAGGAGCUCCUGCUGCAUGGUGGGGGUUGGAAAGUUUCGGCGGUUGGGGAUGGACUCGCGGCUUAUCAGCUUGUUGGUGGAGUAGUGGCUUACCAAGGCUUUGACGGGUAGCCGGCCUGAGAGGGUGACCGGCCACAUUGGGACUGAGAUACGGCCCAG